CACGGGGGGAGCAAGCGUUGUUCGGAAUCACUGGGCGUAAAGGGUGCGUAGGCGGCGCGGUAAGUCGGGUGUGAAAUCUCGGAGCUUAACUCCGAAACUGCAUUCGAUACUGCCGUGCUUGAGGACUGGAGAGGAGACUGGAAUUUACGGUGUAGCGGUGAAAUGCGUAGAUAUCGUAAGGAAGACCAGUGGCGAAGGCGGGUCUCUGGACAGUUCCUGACGCUGAGGCACGAAGGUCAGGGGAGCAAACGGG
rnacentral:rRNA from 1 species